rnacentral:rRNA from 1 species
UACGUAGGGGGCAAGCGUUGUCCGGAUUUAUUGGGCGUAAAGAGCGUGUAGGCGGCCUGGUAGGUCAGCUGUGAAAACUCGAGGCUCAACCUCGAGACGCCGAUGGAAACCAUCUGACUAGAGUCCGGAAGAGGAGAGUGGAAUUCCUGGUGUAGCGGUGAAAUGCGCAGAUAUCAGGAAGAACACCCGUGGCUAAGGCGGCUCUCUAGUACGUGACUGACGCUGAGACGCGAAAGCGUGGGGAGCGAACAGG